rnacentral:rRNA from 1 species
AUUGAACGCUGGCGGCAGGCCUAACACAUGCAAGUCGAGCGGAUGAAGGGAGCUUGCUCCUGGAUUCAGCGGCGGACGGGUGAGUAAUGCCUAGGAAUCUGCCUGGUAGUGGGGGAUAACGUCCGGAAACGGGCGCUAAUACCGCAUACGUCCUGAGGGAGAAAGUGGGGGAUCUUCGGACCUCACGCUAUCAGAUGAGCCUAGGUCGGAUUAGCUAGUUGGUGGGGUAAAGGCCUACCAAGGCGACGAUCCGUAACUGGUCUGAGAGGAUGAUCAGUCACACUGGAACUGAGACACGGUCCAGACUCCGACGGGAGGCAGCAGGGGGGAAUAUUGGACAAGGGGCGAAAGCCUGAUCCAGCCAUGCCGCGUGUGUGAAGAAGGUCUUCGGAUUGUAAAGCACUUUAAGUUGGGAGGAAGGGAAGUAAGUUAAUACCUGGCUGUUUUGACGUUACCAACAGAAUAGGCACCGGCUAACUUCGG